AAUAUAACAAAUAUAGCUAUUUGUAUCUUUUCACCGAAGUGCGGCCCUGUAAUCAAGCACUUUAGGCGUGUUAGACUAACUAAUUCAACUGAUUAGAUUUCCCGCAAUACAAAAUAAGCAGGGCACCGGACGUCGAUGACGUUGCCUACAUGCAAAUCGAUAUGUUAAUUUCGAUAGGUUCAAUCGGUCGGUCGGUGGCUUGCUCACCCGCCGAUGACACAAAACAUAAAUUGAAUUUCGAGCGCCAACAACAGCAACAAAGUAACAACGGUACAGGAAACGAUUGAACCUAGCAACGCAGUGGCCUUUGUUUGUUUACAAUCUGAAUUAGUUGUAUUCAGACUUACACAUAGACAUCAUUAAUAUUUAUACUAUUUCAGCAAUUAUGGUGCGCAUUACAGAGGAGCUAGUUCGCAAAAAGUCGGAGCAUAAUGAGCGAUUAAUUAGCACGCUGGAGGAGCUGUCGCUGCAUCAAGAGGACAUUGAACGCAUUGAACACAUACAGAACUGGUGUCGCGAUCUCAAGAUAUUGCUGCUGCAGUCUAAUCUCAUAGGCCGGCUGGAAAAUCUGUUCAAGCUGAAGCGUCUGGAGUAUCUCAAUGUGGCGGUUAACAAUAUUGAGCGCAUUGAGAACUUGGAGAGUCUCGAGUCGCUCAACAAGCUCGAUCUGACGCUCAACUUCAUUGGCGAGCUAACCAGCAUUGAAUCGCUAAUUGGCAAUUACAAUUUACGCGAACUGAUUCUGAUUGGUAAUCCGUGUGUCGAAUAUCCCCAUUAUCGUGACUAUGUGGUGGGCACCUUGCUGCAGCUGCACAGCUUCGACUGCAAGGAGAUAUUGCCCACAGAGCGUCUGCAAGCGCAACGUCUCGUCCAACAGCAUCGGGCUGUCAUUGUCCAGUGCCAGGCGGCACAGGCCAUCGAGCGGGAUGAGCAAAGGAUUCGCGUGGCCGAGCAGCAGCAGCAACUGGCCAAACAGUGCGCCGACAUGGAGGACGAGGAGGAGCGUCGACGCACCUUCUGGAACUCCAAAAGCGAGCACUGCCCCGAAAUACGCACGGAGAUAGCGCGCCAGCACAGGCUUGGCCGCGAAAAGCACGAACCGGCACCAAAUCCAUUGACAACCAAUCUCAAGCGAAAGCCGAAUUUGUUUGCGCCCUGCGGACGACCCUACAACAUCAACCAGGGCAAGUUGCCGUUUAAUUUCCAAGAUGAGGCCGAUCACUAUAGUCUGCUAUUGGAAGUUUACAAGCAUCUGGACACAUCUCUGAUCGAUGUGGACGUCGAGACAAACUAUGUGCGCGUCACGGUCAAGGGAAAGAUCUUUCAAAUCGCCUACAACGAGGAGGUCAAGCCGGAUGAGUCGAUUGUGCAGCGUUCCCAAAUCACUGGCCAUUUGCAGAUAACACUCAAGAAGCUCAAGGCCAACGAGCUGCUCGUCAUCAAAUCCGUGCGCACGCCGAAGAAAAGUGCUCCCGCUCCUGGCGCUGCUGCUGCAAAAGAACCCAGCGGCACAGUCGAUAUUGGCAAUAUAUGCCCGCCGCCCGAUUUGCCCGACUUGAUCUAAGUGAAGCACACAAGGAUCUAUUAGUUUUUUUUUUAUUUAAAAAUUGUUUAUUUAAAUAUUUUGUUUUUUGUAUUUUUUUUUUCUUUUUUUGGGAUUUUCUGUUUCGUUGCUGCGCCUCUCGUAUUCCUGCUGCCUUCUAGUAUUCAUAACUCCGCGCUGACCCAGCAUAGUACCAGAUGUCUAUAUACAUAUAUAUACACAAAUGUAUAUAUAUAUAUAUAUACACAUAUAUAUGUUAGCAUUUGAAGUUUGAACAGUUCAUUCUGAGCCAACGGAAAGGCAUCUCAGCUUAAGGGAUUUCUCGUUUAUUUCAGUCUCAGAGCGGCGCACUAUAGUUUCGAUCAUAGAAAAUGGAUUGUAUUUGGUAUAUGUCUAGUUUGUGGAUCGGGAAGGAGGAAGGCUAGUAUUAUAUUGUAAUAUUCAUUUUUUUUUUUUUUUUUUUUUGCAUUUUGUUUUUGCAUUCAGUGCUUACAAGUUUAUACUGCGGGAGUAAGGAUCGUAUG